rnacentral:piRNA from 1 species
UGAGAGCUUAAUCUGAUCCUUAAGUGUUGC